UACGUAGGGGGCAAGCGUUGUCCGGAAUUAUUGGGCGUAAAGGGUGCGUAGGCGGCCUUUUAAGUCAGAUGUGAAAGACCACGGCUCAACCGUGGGGUUGCAUUUGAAACUGGAGGGCUUGAGUAUCGGAGAGGGUAGUGGAAUUCCCAGUGUAGCGGUGGAAUGCGUAGAUAUUGGGAGGAACACCAGUGGCGAAGGCGACUACCUGGACGAAAACUGACGCUGAGGCACGAAAGCUAGGGGAGCAAACAGGAUUAGAUACCCUGGUAGUCCUAGCCGUAAACGAUGGGUACUAGGUGUAGGAGGUUUCGAUACCUUCUGUGCCGCAGUUAACGCAAUAAGUACCCCGCCUGGGGAGUACGUGCGCAAGCAUGAA
rnacentral:rRNA from 1 species